UGCCGGGUCCCGCGCGAUGUAAUCCCGUGAACCCCGCCAGGUCCGGAAGGAAGCAACGGUAAUGGGCCAGUGCAUGUGCAGUGGGCUCCCCGGUAUCU
rnacentral:SRP_RNA from 1 species